rnacentral:lncRNA from 1 species
AUGUCCAUUCAGCUGGAGGAGGAAAUGUGGGAACAGGCUGUCCCUGCUGCUGAUAAGGACGUACGGAACUUCCUACCUUCCACAUAUGGGACCGGGCCUUUAACUGGAAAGAGGUGCUGCCAGGGGUCAUUGCAAAUUGUCCAUGUGCCUGUUCAGUCAUGUGCCACUCCAGCAUCCAGACUCCAUCUCCAUAUCUCAAUCCUGAUGGCUUUUCCUUAAGCAAGACUUUCAUCCGAUUCCCUUGAUGCCUCCUGACAGAGAGCUGGCAGGUAGAGACGUCUGUGUAAUCUUCCUCCUCUACACCCGCUCUUGUUUUUUGGGUUUGAGUCUAGCCGGGUGGAGUGGGUCUGAAUGAACCAGCUUUGUUUGUCAAUUCAUCCUCAAGGAGUGUAUGUGACAGUGAGACUCAUUGUCCUCCGUGGCUCAGCCUUCCAUCUGGCCUGAUUGGAUUGGCUGCGUGACAGAGUUUUACUUGAGCUUGGGAAAGUUAGGUCAAGUUAGGCUUCUGCUCUGAGCUCCCUGAGCCUUUCAUGCUUUGAAGAGCAGUCUACUGCAAAUAUCAACACCCAUUUGGGGUUUUUAUUAACAUUUGAAUGUUUCUUUGGGUGAAUCUCUUGAAUAAGAGGCCAUGUUUCACUCCAAAAAAGAAAUAAAAUAGGAAUUAUAUUUUGAAUAAUAAAUCUAAAUAUUGUUGUACUGCAGUAUCAAACAAAUAUAUGUAUGUAUUUGCAUGUUUGUUUAGGAACAGAUAGAUAGAUAGAUAGACAGAUAGACAGACAGAUAGAUAGAUAGAUAGAUAGAUAGAUAGAUAGAUAGAUAGAUAGAUAGAUAGAUAGAUAGAUAGAUAGAUAGAUAGAUAGAUAGAUAGAUUUACAUAAUAUUUAAAAUAUUAUUAAAUUACAAUGUACUAUAGAAUUAUAUUAAAUAUAUUUUUUAUCUCAUUUUCAUGUAUACUCAUUUUUCAAAUAUACUCAAAAGAAUGUCAUAAUACAGAAAAUCCUCAAAAACAAGC